rnacentral:rRNA from 1 species
GAUGAACGCUAGCGAUAGGCUUAACACAUGCAAGUCGAGGGGCAGCAUGGUCUUAGCUUGCUAAGACUGAUGGCGACCGGCGCACGGGUGCGUAACGCGUAUGCAACUUGCCUCACAGAGGGGGAUAACCCGUCGAAAGACGGACUAAUACCGCGUACACUCUAUUUUGGGCAUCCAAGGUAGAGGAAAUGAAAUUCGCUGUGAGAUAGGCAUGCGUCCCAUUAGCUAGUUGGUGAGGUAACGGCUCACCAAGGCGACGAUGGGUAGGGGAACUGAGAGGUUGAACCCCCACACUGGUACUGAGACACGGACCAGACUCCUACGGGAGGCAGCAGUGAGGAAUAUUGAUCAAUGGGCGAGAGCCUGAACCAGCCAAGUCGCGUGAAGGAUGACUGUCUUAUGGAUUGUAAACUUCUUUUGUAGGGGAAUAAAGAGGGGCACGUGUGCCCCAGUGAAUGUACCCUACGAAUAAGCAUCGGCUAACUCCGUG